UCUCCAAGUCCCCACUCGACCCAGGAAGUCCAGCUGGCUUCACGUCUCACAGGGGCGUCAGGCCCAGAGAGGUCAUUUUGGAAUGACCAAAGGGUAUCAUUGGUGGCCCCUUUAAGAAAAUAUUCUGUUUCCAGAAGGCCCUAGAAACUUCCCUUCCCAUGCAUAGUCAACUAAAUUGGCAAGAAUUCUGCCUACUUGGUUGAUACUCUCUUGGAUGAUGACUCUUAUUUGCAGGGGUGCUCUCUCCCCACCUUCCUGCUUUCUCUGUCUUAUUUAAUGUCCAGGAACAAAAAGGGUGGAAAAAUUAAGAGGUGGCCUCAGUCCUGUCCACCCUGGGCGAGGUGGUCAGAUCCUGCUGGCGACUGCAGCUGUUUCUCUCAGGAGGAUGAUGAAUACCCUACAGAUGGCAGCUGCUCCUGUUCUCAGGAGCCUGGUCAUUAGGAAGAAAAGGAUAAAAACCCCAAACCUGUUAUCUACUGAGCAAUUCUGAGCUGCUCUGGAAAUUUGAAAGGCACUGGGAAGAAAAGUGUCACCAGUUCUGCUGGGACGGGGCCAGGGUGUGGGUGGGGGAUUCGGGCAGGGCUGGCUGCUCGCUCGCCCCCUCCCUCCCUGGAGGGCCCACUCUGCACUCCUGCCCUUCUUCCAACUUUUCCUCCUUCUUAUUAUCUUCGGAUCUUCCUUCUGUUCCUCUACAGCUGAGCCUUCCUGAGGAGGUAAAGGAGUGUCCCUGGUGCUUGGGCAAAUGGAACCGGUUCAGCCCAUGCUGUCACCACGUGCAGGGCCCUCUCUCAGUGUGACUGGUGUGACAGGAGGAAGAAGGGCAGUGAGCCGUGGCCCAGCUAUUGCAGGGACAGCCAGAGCAGCUUCCUGCAGUGCAAGCCCUGCCUGACGCCCUUCUGCCUUUCUCAUCGGGUCUCAGCUCGUCCUGGCCACACCCGUCCAGGCCUUUUCUGCAGGAAAGGAACUUUUGCUCAACCAUCCAUUUUGAAAGUGGAGACUCUAUCUCCAUUCUAACGCUCCUUUUCUUUUAGACUUUUAAACACAUUUU
rnacentral:lncRNA from 1 species